rnacentral:misc_RNA from 1 species
GAUGAAGAACGUAGCGAAAUGCGAUAAGUAAUGUGAAUUGCAGAAUUCAGUGAAUCAUCGAAUCUUUGAACGCACAUUGCGCCCCCUGGUAUUCCGGGGGGCAUGCCUGUCCGAGCGUCAUUACAACCCUCAAGCUCAGCUUGGUAUUGGGCCCCGCCGCUCCGGCGGGCCCUAAAGUCAGUGGCGGUGCCGUCCGGCUCCGAGCGUAGUAAUUCUUCUCGCUCUGGAGGUCCGGUCGUGUGCUCGCCAGCAACCCCCAAUUUUUUUCAGGUUGACCUCGGAUCAGGUAGGGAUACCCGCUGAACUUAAGCAUAUCAUAAGCGGAGGA